GAUGAACGCUAGCUACAGGCUUAACACAUGCAAGUCGAGGGGUAACAAGAGAAAAGCUUGCUUUUCUUGUUGACGACCGGCGCACGGGUGAGUAACGCGUAUCCAACCUGCCUAUAACUAGGGAAUAACCUUGCGAAAGUAAGACUAAUACCCUAUGAUUUCCUUUGAUGACAUCAGAUUAGGAAUAAAGAUUUUUCGGUUAUAGAUGGGGAUUCGUCUGAUUAGCUUGUGGGCGGGGUAACGGCCCACCAAGGCAACGAUCAGUAGGGGUUCUGAGAGGAAGGUCCCCCACAUUGGAACUGAGACACGGUCCAAACUCCUACGGGAGGCAGCAGUGAGGAAUAUUGGUCAAUGGGCGGAAGCCUGAACCAGCCAAGUAGCGUGCAGGAUGACGGCCCUAUGGGUUGUAAACUGCUUUUAUACAGGAAUAAAGUUAGCCACGUGUGGUUAUUUGUAGGUACUGUAUGAAUAAGGACCGGCUAAUUCCGUGCCAGCCGCCGCCGUAA
rnacentral:rRNA from 1 species